UCCAAAUAAGCAUGACAGUUCCUCUUCCAAUGACCUGGUUUCUUGCAAUAGUGACAAUCACCAUCCUUCUGAACACCACCUUUCGGUUUCAAGGCCUUAGUCGGACCAGGUUUCGGAUUGGCAUUAGAAUUAGAUCCCAUCUUCUUCUUGCCUUUCCAUUUACCCUUUCCUUUGGCCUUCCCCUUAUUCACCAUCAAUAUGGGAGUAGGGGAC
rnacentral:lncRNA from 1 species